rnacentral:rRNA from 1 species
GACGAACGCUGGCGGCGUGCCUAAUACAUGCAAGUUGAGCGCUGAAGGUUGGUACUUGUACCAACUGGAUGAGCAGCGAACGGGUGAGUAACGCGUGGGGAAUCUGCCUUUGAGCGGGGGACAACAUUUGGAAACGAAUGCUAAUACCGCAUAAAAACUUUAAACACAAGUUUUAAGUUUGAAAGAUGCAAUUGCAUCACUCAAAGAUGAUCCCGCGUUGUAUUAGCUAGUUGGUGAGGUAAAGGCUCACCAAGGCGAUGAUACAUAGCCGACCUGAGAGGGUGAUCGGCCACAUUGGGACUGAGACACGGCCCAAACUCCUACGGGAGGCAGCAGUAGGGAAUCUUCGGCAAUGGAUGAAAGUCUGACCGAGCAACGCCGCGUGAGUGAAGGAGGUUUUCGGAUCGUAAAACUCUGUUGGUAGAGAAGAACGUUGGUGAGAGUGGAAAGCUCAUCAAGUGACGGUAACUACCCAGAAAGGGACGGCUAACUACGUG